UACGUAGGGAGCAAGCGUUGUCCGGAAUCAUUGGGCGUAAAGCGCGCGUAGGUGGCCUCGUAAGUCCGCUGUGAAAGUCAAAGGCUCAACCUUUGAAAGCCGGUGGAUACUGUGAGGCUAGAGUACGGAAGAGGCGAGUGGAAUUCCUGGUGUAGCGGUGGAAUGCGCAGAUAUCAGGAGGAACACCAAUAGCGAAGGCAGCUCGCUGGGACGGUACUGACGCUGAGACGCGAAAGCGUGGGGAGCAAACAGG
rnacentral:rRNA from 1 species